AUGCAAAAAUCAGAGUUGAUGGUGCAACUUCACGUGGUUUGGACGGUGGCUUGUAUAGCGUACUUGGGGGCUUCAGCUAUCAAGUACGCAGGCAUAAUUGAUCCGGCAUUGCUCAAGGCACACGCUUGUCGAGAGGCUCUUUCUCUCGCUCUGGACUUAGAUCUAACACAUGUGAUAAUAGUGUCGGAUUGCCAAGCAGUUGUCACGAACAUUAACAAAGGCUCGGGAGGAUUAUAUGCGGGCAUUGUUAGAGAGAUCCAAGCUACUGCUAAUCAGUUCACAGUUUGCUCCUUCAUCUUCGAGGAUUAUAUUGAGGCACAUAGCUUCGCUAAGCAUACUUUAGGACUUUCUUUUGGACGUCAUAUAUGA
rnacentral:rRNA from 1 species